rnacentral:misc_RNA from 1 species
AAGUCGUAACAAGGUUUCCGUAGGUGAACCUGCGGAAGGAUCAUUAUCGAGUUUUGAAACGGGUUGUAGCUGGCCUUCCGAGGCAUGUGCACGCCCUGCUCAUCCACUCUACACCUGAGCACUUACUGUGGGUUUCAGGAGCUUCUAUGGCGUUCUUACGUCGUGGUUGUUACUGGGCCUGCAUUUACUACAAACUCUUAUAAGUAUCAGAAUGUGUAUUGCGAUGUAACGCAUCUAUAUACAACUUUCAGCAACGGAUCUCUUGGCUCUC